GAGGACUUAGCUUAAUAAAAGCGAUUGAUUUGCAUUCAUUAGAUGUGAGAAGUAGUCUUACAGUCCUUA
rnacentral:tRNA from 1 species